rnacentral:rRNA from 1 species
UAUGUGUCACACGGGACGUGCCGGUCGUUAAGCCGGAGGAAGGUGGGGAUGAUGUCAAGUCAGCAUGGCCUUUAUAUCCUGGGCUACACACACGCUACAAUGGCCAACACAAUAGGUUGCUAAGCCGCGAGGUGGCGCCAAUCCAUAAAGUUGGUCUCAGUUCAGAUUGUAGGCUGCAACCCGCCUGCAUGAAGAUGGAGUUGCUAGUAACCGCAGGUCAGCAAUACUGCGGUGAAUACGUUCCCGGGUCUU